AUUCUCGGUUUGAGAAAUACGGUAUAGUAUGGUUUAAUACGUGUUAUUUAGAAGAGAGAUUAUGGUAAUGGUUUAGCGCGUAUAAUGCACGGGUUUUUGUGUGCAUGUUUUAGCGCGAAAGCGCACGAGUUUUUCGUUUUGGGGUAUAUAUGAUUUGCACAUCUAGUGAGACGCCAUUCGAGGGUUGUUUUUGACAGGCAAAGUUAUGGAGCAAGAAAACGAAAGGGUGAUAAAGUAGUUUAGGCGUUCAUUUGCGAAAAACAUAGUAUUCGGAAGGAGAUUUUCGAUGAGAGGACUGAUUCUCUGCUAGAAGCGGAAUGGUGAGCUGGAACUUCGAACAAAGGUCAGACUUGUUGGUUCUGUUUAUUGUAAUAACACUGGCAACAACAUUCCGAUUGAAAUUAACACAGGUUGUGUUCCUUGUUAACUUUAAUGAUAAGUAUAUUCAAUAACAUGCUCCAUAUCUUUAUUUGUGCUGUUGUUUUUGUUUAGUUCCAACUAUUCAGAUACAUCAAUUGAUUUGAUUAUUGGGUAAAAAUGAAACUAUUUAAGUUCAAAAAGAUGUCGCAAAUGUGAUGGUCUGGUAGGAUUAUAUAUAGGUAAGGCCACAUAGUGUGUCACUCCAGGUUGUUUUGAUAGCAGAGUUAGAUCACUCUCCCUCAUGUUUUUACGAACACCUUGCUUUAUUUGUAUUGUUUUUAAGAUAUAAAACCUUAUAUGGUAAUAUAUGUGUUACAAGUUUGUGUAUUAGUUCCAAGCGUAUAAUUCAACAAACGAUUAAUAACAAUUAACUGCCGUUUUCCUUAUAAUUCAGAUAGAUGGUUGUGUGCGAUAUAUGACGUGGUAUGAUAAUGAGCGGAUGAAAAUUUAUGCAAACAUAUCUUUAAACUAUUCAGGUAUUCCAAUUGUGAAUUAAGAAUAAAACAUUAAAAAAAAAUCGAUACAUUACGGAAAUAUAUAUUCUAUUCAUCUAUGAAACAGCUAUAGAGACAUGUCUUGUAAACUUUUUUCGAAACAUGUUUGUGUUUUGCAUAUAUUACAUCUCGUUCGCUGGAUAUUGAAUAAACAGUUUAUAUGUUAUUGUUGUAUACAAUUAAACAUUUUCUCUAAAUUGAAUUAAAACAUUAAGAGUUAUUAUAUUUUUCAUAAUAAUUUAAGACGUUAAGUUUCCCCUGCAAGGUUGGUGUCAAUAAUGGUGCAUGCAUAUGUGCUAAUUAAUUUACGAUAUUUUGGAUAAACUGUGGUAUAAAUUUGGUUUGAAAAGAGCGUUGACAAUAAGACUGUUGUUUUAAACUUAGAUGAAAGGCAUUUAUCGGUUUUGUUAAAUUUAGUUUCGUCAUAGUUUAAUGCAUUUUUAAAGAUUAGGUACUGUAAUGAUAACAAAAGUAGACCGGAUUUAUUUGCAAUAUAAGUCGAUUUUGUUUUCGUGAUAGUUUUUGUUCUUGUUUGGUGGACUGUUGGCUUGAUGUGUAAAGACAUUUUGUUUUAUGGUGUUUGGCCGUUUUUUGAAUGCCAGUUAACAUGUGUAAUUUGCUUAUCGUUUUGGUGAAAGCCAGUUGACCAGAUGUGGAUAAACCCAGUUAGCGCGUGUAGUUUGUUAACCAAAUUUGUUAAAACGUGCGUUUACAUUUACAUUUUUGUUUUUAUUUAAUGUUAAGAUUGUACUGUUCGAAGGAUAUUAUAUAUAUUGGAGAACAUUAAAUGUAUGUUAUUAAGGGCCAGAUUGGCUUAUGUAAAUUAACCGGUUGGCUCGGGUUGUCCGUUGACAGUGUGUUGAAAGCAGAAUUUUUCAGAUGCGUAUAAGCCAGUUUGCUUGCGUGUCAAUUCACUAAAAUGUCUCAAAACACAUGUUGAAAUUGCAUUUACACAUGUUUGCGAAGUUUAUUUUUUCAGAAGCUGGACAGUUCGAAGAAUAAAUAAUGAAUAGUGUAACAUUAUAGUAAGAGGGCAGCUCGAAAGUUAAAACACAGUUCGAGAGGUAUAUAACGUGGUGGAGAAUAUUUAGGUAUUCAUUUUAUGUUUUAUAUUAUUUGUAUUCUCUCUUUGUUUUAUUCGAAAGUCCUGUCAAAUACAAGCACUCGCUCCUAUUUUGUCUUUGGUUUAUUAUUUGUUUGAUAAUGAUAAUGAUGAUGAUAUGGGUUAUAAAGAUGAUGAGAUUUUAAUAGUAUUUUGAGAAUAGAGAAUAAUAAAUUUACUCAUAACUAUGAGUAAAUGAAAUUAUUCUCGGUUUGAGAAAUACGGUAUAGUAUGGUUUAAUACGUGUUAUUUAGAAGAGAGAUUAUGGUAAUGGUUUAGCGCGUAUAAUGCACGGGUUUUUGUGUGCAUGUUUUAGCGCGAAAGCGCACGAGUUUUUCGUUUUGGGGUAUAUAUGAUUUGCACAUCUAGUGAGACGCCAUUCGAGGGUUGUUUUUGACAGGCAAAGUUAUGGAGCAAGAAAACGAAAGGGUGAUAACCCCGCCCGCCCGCCCUUAAUGAACAUAUGUAUGGUUAAAUAAUUGGUUACAUUGCUUUUAUGUUUAUAAUUUUGCUAUUAUAAAGUCUAUAUUUAGUAUAUUUUCAGUUCGGUUUUUAGUCCAUGUGAGAUGGGAUCUUAACACGAACCGAUUUCUUUACUAGGAAAGACGAUGGGUGUAUUUUCAUUUAAGUCUGAAGCAGCUAAGUGUUCUUGAUUAUUUUGACUCAUUUGUUACUUAAUAUUGUGUUUGAAUGAGGUCUUUUAAGUUAUGGGUGUCAUGUUUUUCGAGACUCUCACUUCCUGGAGAUAGUACCUCCAGCAUACUUAUUGAAAUAUUGGUAUGUUUAAAUGUCAAGUGUUAUUAUUUUUUGUUGUCGUUCGUAAUGAACGUUUAAUUUUAAAGACAUUUUUAUUGUACGAUUACUUAAUAUUUUCAUUUUGGUGUGACUGGUUAGAUGUUGAAGUCGGUUUAAUAUAGCUGUUAAAUUCGUCAUAUGCAUUUAUAUAUUUCUCGGAAUAUUUAUGAUUUAUCAACAUUCUUUAUAGAUGCUUUAUGGAUUUUAUGGUUUGAGUGAUUUGUUUGUUUCUUGCUGAUGUCCGGGGUGUGUGCAGGAUGCUUUUGAUGUUUGUUUGUAAUGUUAACUUGCGCAAUGAAUUGAUAAUGUUUUAAUUACAUUUUUUACUAUAAAAUACUUAAUGUUACAGUAUCUUAAUAGCUGCUUAUUUGUAGAUUUCUCUAAAUUAGAGGUUUCGGGAGGUGAUGAAGGCACCUAGACACCGGUCUCGAGCCAUGGGUCCUCAUACGUCCCCCUGCCAUUAAAAGAAAAAAUAAGAAAACAAAAAUGGCAGUAGGGUUGCGUAUCCCGCUCGCGGUUUUACCUGAAUCGUUUAUUACUACUGAGUAUUGUAUGGGGUGUACGUGAAGUCAUGUACACUUCUCUUGAUUGGUGGUGGUAGAUGAAUCUUGCAGAUAUUAGCAGCUUCUUUGAACAAAUUAAUGUUUCACAUUUGUUAAUUUAUAAUAUUUAAGCAAGUUAGCGUGAUUGAUGGGCAUUGGGGGCGUCCUGUGUGCACUGUGGGCAUCGGCGGGGAUCAGUUUAUUCAAACAGUAACUCUUUUGAGAUAUAUACUUGACGUCUAAUUGUUAUGAAUACAUUUGCACUUUUUCACAUGACACACAUGUGUAUGUGAAGUAUUCAUAAUUACAUGCCCUACAGCAAUCAAAUAGUAUCGUUUCAGUUCUUUAUACACCUGAACAAAGAUGUUACACCGUUUCCAGUCGUCUCGAGAUUCCUCAACUGAGCGGUGCCGUUGAGGUCUAUAUCCAUUGCGCAUACAACAUAUACGGGCUUCAGAAGAAUUGUUUUUUGCAUUUAUUUGUUGAAAGUCCUGUCAAAUACAAGCACUCGCUCCUA